CUUCUCACCCCUUCUCCAGAAACCAACUUCACUCUCCACAAGUCCUCUCUAGCGAAAAGCCAAUUUUUACAAAAUUCUUCUUUAAAUUCCUAAAUUCUUGAUGCCCAUUCUUACCAAUUACUGAUCGGGGGUCUAGUAGAGUUCAAAGAAUUCUAGGUCUAGAGCUUUAGGAUUUCUGGGUUUAGAGUUGGAGGAUUUCUCGAUCUAGAGUUCAAGGACUUAUGGGUCUAGUAUUCGAGGAUUUAUGGGUCUAGUGUUCGAGGACUUCCGGGAUUAGAAUUCGAUGAUUUCUGGGUUUAGUGUUCGAGGGCUUCUGGGUUUUAAUGUUCGAAGACUUCUAGGUUUUGAGCUCGUGGCUUUCUGGGUUCGAGGACGAGGCUUUCUGGGUCGACGAGAAGACGAGGUUUUCUAUGUAUUCUUCAAUUUAAAUUUUGGUCCCAAAUUUUAGGGUUUUAUCUUUUCAAUUCAUUUUAAAGGUUGAAAUGGUAUUCAUUUCAACUAAUAGCAGAUCUACUGGCAUUUGCUAUCCACAAUAUUGGGUAUUAGGUUAUUUAUGUUUGAUUUUGGGGUUCUUUGUUGGAUAUUGCUUUCGACAUUUUGGAAAAUUAGGGCUUUGAUAUGACAAUUUGUAUUUUUGAUCACUAUACGGAGUAUGUAUUCUUGAAUUAUCUCUAUUUUUUGGUCUUCUUGGUUUCUUUCUCUCUUGUCUGGGAUUUGCAGGGUAGGUUAAUUAUUACCUGAUCGAAUCAUGUUAAUUAGCUUCUUUUGUUCUUAUUCCAUAAGAAUGAAGCUAGUUUGAAGAAGGACCGAUCAAGUUGCUUUGCAUUCGGAACAUCCUAAAUGAAGCAAGGGUGACUGAAGAGGGAGUCGAUGCAACUGAAAGAACCUGGGUGAUGAGAAGCCUAUGGGGGAGGUAGAUGCAGCAAAUGGCAACAAAUAUACUACUGCUGAGGAACUAAAAGAAAAGGAUCAUGAGAAGAAGAAAAUGCAGAUGACCGACCCACCAUGUCAGAUGCGAUGUCUAUGUUGACAAGGGACAGAGUGCCUUCGCCCAAACCAACAAUGCCAUCAUUUUCUAGAUACAAUAAUCUGAUGAGUACUAAUAGUAUAGAAGGAAAUGAGCAAGAAACCAUGUCCUUCAGUGGUUUAUCAAUAUUUGGCCAAAAUAUUGACUACGGUGUAUGUGCUUUCAUAUGUAACUACUUUUAAAUUUUAAUUAAUUGGAUCAUUAUUAAUUUGUUUUGAAUGUGACAUCAUAUUACUUUCUCACUGUUUUUUUUGUUCAUUAUAAAAAAUUGACUAGUACUGUGAUUCUUCUAUUCAUUGAUAACUCACCAGUUGCUAAUGCUCUCCCUUUCUUUUUAUGAAGGUUUAGUUUUGUCUUCUUUUACUUUGUAAAUUUGCUCCUUUCUUUGUGGAUCUAGUACAUCUAUCUUAGUAUCUUACUGCAUGUGUGCUUUGUUCAUCUAACAUCUUCAAGUUCCUAAAAGGUAUGUACGUAUUGAUGCUAACUUGGUGACAUUGUUUACAACAUGUCGCAAAUCUGUCUAACAAAACUCUUUUGCUUCUUGCAGGGAUUUGAGAACGGGGAGCAAAUGUAUAUGGACCGGGAAUGUUCCUGUUUCAUAUUUGAAUUUGUGUUGUCGUAACUCCUAAGAAGCUUGCUGCGAUCUUCAAAUUCAGUUGCUAUUGUGACAUUUCCACCUAAUCUUCUUUCAUCAUCCUCAUCUACAAGAUGGCAACAUGUGGCGGACACCUUGAUGUGUUAGUUGAAGUGAUUCAUGUUGUUCGGUACGCAGUAGUAACUUGCUAUAAGUAGUUAGAUAUGCAUUGUAAGCAUCGAUCUGAAGGUUGAAUUUGGACAUGGCCGAUGUCGCAUCUUUUGCGAGCUAUUUUGAUGUGCAAGUUGUUUAGUUGGUUGCCCUUGGAUCAAAAGCCAAUCAAUGGUUGAGAUAAUUCUGCCGAGCUCACUGGACCUUUGAGUAAUGAUUCGAUCAUAUUUCCCUGUAGGAAUAAGAUAUUGAUUUGAUUCCAAAUCAUACAAAAACUAGACUCACACAACUUUCUAUCCAUAUAAUGUACGUCUUCUAA